rfam:Sus scrofa chromosome 5.
UCCCUGGUGCUCUAGUGGUUAGGACUUGGCGCUUUCACUGCUGCAACCUAGGUUCAAUCCCUGGUCUGGGAA